UACGUAGGGGGCGAGCGUUGUCCGGAUUUAUUGGGCGUAAAGAGCGUGUAGGCGGCUUGGUAGGUCUCGCGUCAAAGCCUGAGGCUCAACCUCAGUUCGCGUGGGAAACCACCUAGCUAGAGUCCGGAAGAGGAGAACGGAAUUCCCAGUGUAGCGGUGAAAUGCGCAGAUAUUGGGAAGAACACCAGUGGCGAAGGCGGUUCUCUGGGACGGUACUGACGCUGAGACGCGAAAGCGUGGGGAGCGAACAGG
rnacentral:rRNA from 1 species